GUCCGAACGGAUAAGACUUCUAGCUUGCUAUAGGAAACUGUUAGUGGCAGACGGGUGAGUAACGCGUGGGAAUCUACCCAGUAGUACGGGAUAACAGUUGGAAACGACUGCUAAUACCGUAUACGCUCUACGGAGGAAAGAUUUAUUGCUAUUGGAUGAGCCCGCGUUAGAUUAAGUUGUUGGUAGGGUAAUGGCCUACCAAGCCUACGAUCUAUAGCUUGGUCUGAGAGGAUGAUCAGCCACACUGGGACUGAGACACGGCCCAGACUCCUACGGGAGGCAGCAGUGGGGAAUAUUGGACAAUGGGCCGAAAGCCUGAUCCAGCAAUGCCGCGUGAGUGAUGAAGGCCUUAGGGUUGUAAAGCUCUUUCAGUAGGGGAAGAUAAUGACGGUACCUACAGAAGAAGCCCCGGCUAACUCCGUGCCAGCAGCCGCGGUAAUACGGAGGGGGCUAGCGUUGUUCGGAAUCCUGGGCGUAAGAGCAUGUAGGCGGUUAAUCAAGUUGGGAGUGAAAUCCCAGACUCACUCUGGAAUUGCUUUCAAACUGGUUGACUAGAGAAUGGUAGGGGAUGGCGGAAUUCUAUGUAAAGGUGAAAUUCUA
rnacentral:rRNA from 1 species